rnacentral:rRNA from 1 species
ACUAAGCGUACACGGUGGAUGCCCUGGCAGUCAGAGGCGAUGAAGGACGUGCUAAUCUGCGAUAAGCGUCGGUAAGGUGAUAUGAACCGUUAUAACCGGCGAUUUCCGAAUGGGGAAACCCAGUGUGUUUCGACACACUAUCAUUAACUGAAUCCAUAGGUUAAUGAGGCGAACCGGGGGAACUGAAACAUCUAAGUACCCCGAGGAAAAGAAAUCAACCGAGAUUCCCCCAGUAGCGGCGAGCGAACGGGGAGCAGCCCAGAGCCUGAAUCAGUGUGUGUGUUAGUGGAAGCGUCUGGAAAGGCGCGCGAUACAGGGUGACAGCCCCGUACACAAAAAUGCACAUGCUGUGAGCUCGAUGAGUAGGGCGGGACACGUGGUAUCCUGUCUGAAUAUGGGGGGACCAUCCUCCAAGGCUAAAUACUCCUGACUGACCGAUAGUGAACCAGUACCGUGAGGGAAAGGCGAAAAGAACCCCGGCGAGGGGAGUGAAAAAGAACCUGAAACCGUGUACGUACAAGCAGUGGGAGCACGCUUAGGCGUGUGACUGCGUACCUUUUGUAUAAUGGGUCAGCGACUUAUAUUCUGUAGCAAGGUUAACCGAAUAGGGGAGCCGAAGGGAAACCGAGUCUUAACUGGGCGUUAAGUUGCAGGGUAUAGACCCGAAACCCGGUGAUCUAGCCAUGGGCAGGUUGAAGGUUGGGUAACACUAACUGGAGGACCGAACCGACUAAUGUUGAAAAAUUAGCGGAUGACUUGUGGCUGGGGGUGAAAGGCCAAUCAAACCGGGAGAUAGCUGGUUCUCCCCGAAAGCUAUUUAGGUAGCGCCUCGUGAAUUCAUCUCCGGGGGUAGAGCACUGUUUCGGCAAGGGGGUCAUCCCGACUUACCAACCCGAUGCAAACUGCGAAUACCGGAGAAUGUUAUCACGGGAGACACACGGCGGGUGCUAACGUCCGUCGUGAAGAGGGAAACAACCCAGACCGCCAGCUAAGGUCCCAAAGUCAUGGUUAAGUGGGAAACGAUGUGGGAAGGCCCAGACAGCCAGGAUGUUGGCUUAGAAGCAGCCAUCAUUUAAAGAAAGCGUAAUAGCUCACUGGUCGAGUCGGCCUGCGCGGAAGAUGUAACGGGGCUAAACCAUGCACCGAAGCUGCGGCAGCGACNNNGAAGGUGUGCUGUGAGGCAUGCUGGAGGUAUCAGAAGUGCGAAUGCUGACAUAAGUAACGAUAAAGCGGGUGAAAAGCCCGCUCGCCGGAAGACCAAGGGUUCCUGUCCAACGUUAAUCGGGGCAGGGUGAGUCGACCCCUAAGGCGAGGCCGAAAGGCGUAGUCGAUGGGAAACAGGUUAAUAUUCCUGUACUUGGUGUUACUGCGAAGGGGGGACGGAGAAGGCUAUGUUGGCCGGGCGACGGUUGUCCCGGUUUAAGCGUGUAGGCUGGUUUUCCAGGCAAAUCCGGAAAAUCAAGGCUGAGGCGUGAUGACGAGGCACUACGGUGCUGAAGCAACAAAUGCCCUGCUUCCAGGAAAAGCCUCUAAGCAUCAGGUAACAUCAAAUCGUACCCCAAACCGACACAGGUGGUCAGGUAGAGAAUACCAAGGCGCUUGAGAGAACUCGGGUGAAGGAACUAGGCAAAAUGGUGCCGUAACUUCGGGAGAAGGCACGCUGAUAUGUAGGUGAAGUCCCUCGCGGAUGGAGCUGAAAUCAGUCGAAGAUACCAGCUGGCUGCAACUGUUUAUUAAAAACACAGCACUGUGCAAACACGAAAGUGGACGUAUACGGUGUGACGCCUGCCCGGUGCCGGAAGGUUAAUUGAUGGGGUUAGCNNNNNNNNNGAAGUGUGGACGCCAGUCUGCAUGGAGCCGACCUUGAAAUACCACCCUUUAAUGUUUGAUGUUCUAACGUUGACCCGUAAUCCGGGUUGCGGACAGUGUCUGGUGGGUAGUUUGACUGGGGCGGUCUCCUCCUAAAGAGUAACGGAGGAGCACGAAGGUUGGCUAAUCCUGGUCGGACAUCAGGAGGUUAGUGCAAUGGCAUAAGCCAGCUUGACUGCGAGCGUGACGGCGCGAGCAGGUGCGAAAGCAGGUCAUAGUGAUCCGGUGGUUCUGAAUGGAAGGGCCAUCGCUCAACGGAUAAAAGGUACUCCGGGGAUAACAGGCUGAUACCGCCCAAGAGUUCAUAUCGACGGCGGUGUUUGGCACCUCGAUGUCGGCUCAUCACAUCCUGGGGCUGAAGUAGGUCCCAAGGGUAUGGCUGUUCGCCAUUUAAAGUGGUACGCGAGCUGGGUUUAGAACGUCGUGAGACAGUUCGGUCCCUAUCUGCCGUGGGCGCUGGAGAACUGAGGGGGGCUGCUCCUAGUACGAGAGGACCGGAGUGGACGCAUCACUGGUGUUCGGGUUGUCAUGCCAAUGGCACUGCCCGGUAGCUAAAUGCGGAAGAGAUAAGUGCUGAAAGCAUCUAAGCACGAAACUUGCCCCGAGAUGAGUUCUCCCUGACNGUCCUGAAGGAACGUUGAAGACGACGACGUUGAUAGGCCGGGUGUGUAAGCGCAGCGAUGCGUUGAGCUAACCGGUACUAAUGAACCGUGAGGCUUAACC